AUUGAACGCUGGCGGCAUACUUUACACAUGCAAGUCGAACGGUAACAGGCCGCAAGGUGCUGACGAGUGGCGAACGGGUGAGUAAUGCAUCGGAACGUGCCCAGUCGUGGGGGAUAACGCAGCGAAAGCUGCGCUAAUACCGCAUACGAUCUAUGGAUGAAAGCGGGGGACCGUAAGGCCUCGCGCGAUUGGAGCGGCCGAUGUCAGAUUAGGUAGUUGGUGGGGUAAAGGCUCACCAAGCCGACGAUCUGUAGCUGGUCUGAGAGGACGACCAGCCACACUGGGACUGAGACACGGCCCAGACUCCUACGGGAGGCAGCAGUGGGGAAUUUUGGACAAUGGGCGCAAGCCUGAUCCAGCAAUGCCGCGUGCAGGAAGAAGGCCUUCGGGUUGUAAACUGCUUUUGUACGGAACAAAACGGUCCUGGUUAAUACCCGGGGCUAAUGACGGUACCGUAAGAAUAAGCACCGGCUAACUACGUGCCAGCAGCCGCCGUAAGAC
rnacentral:rRNA from 1 species